CCGCGGGAAUCGAUUUUCCGGGUUGAUCCUGCCGGAGGUUCACUGCUAUCGGGGUUCGAUUAAGCCAUGCGAGUCGAGAGGGUUCAGACCCUCGGCGCACUGCUCAGUAACACGUGGAUAACCUGCCCUGAGGAGAGGGAUAACCCCGGGAAACUGGGGAUAAUACCUCAUAGGUUUCAGAAGCUGGAAUGCUCUGAAACCGAAAUGCUCCGGCGCCUCAGGAUGGAUCUGCGGCCGAUUAGGUUGUUGUUGGGGUAACGGCCCAACAAGCCCCGUCAUCGGUACGGGUUGUGAGAGCAAGAGCCCGGAGAUGGAUUCUGAGACACCAAUCCAGGCCCUACGGGGCGCAGCAGGCGCGAAACCUUUACAAUGCGAGAAAUCGUGAUAAGGGAACCCCGAGUGCCUGAAACCAGGCUGUUCAGGUGUUUAAAACGCACCUGGAGAAAGGGCCGGGCAAGACCGGUGCCAGCCGCCGCGGUAAUACCGGCGGCUCGAGUGGUGGCCGCUAUUAUUGGGCUUAAAGCGUUCGUAGCUGGGUUGUUAAGUCUCUUGGGAAAUCUCACGGCUCAACCGUGAGGCAUCCAAGAGAUACUGGCAAUCUUGGGACCGGGAGAGGUGAGAGGUACUCCA
rnacentral:rRNA from 1 species